AUGGCACAGCAUAGUUUUGUUCCUGCUUAGCUAAAUUUCUCAACACCACAGUCAGCUAAGAACCCUACUGCCACCUUUGAAAAACAUGGAGAGCACCUGCCCUGAGGAGAAGGUAGAUUUGGAGUGAGCCAUCAUUGACAUUAUUCUUCUAAGGCUUUUUUAACAAUGGAUCCCUACGAACUACAGGAGAUUCCUGGCACCAGCCCUCCCUGUUCCACUAUGAGUCCGUGGACUCUGGUGUCUCAAAGCAAGCAUAUGCUGGAAUCCCAGGGAACCCAUCUGGUUGGCAUGGCUCUUUCCAAUGUCAUAAUGGCAUUAGCCAGCAUAGUGGAGGUGGCGUGGGGAACCAUCACCAUUGGAAUGGCAGCUUCCAUUCUUGGAAAGGCUGCUCCUUUCAGGAAAGGCCACCUACAGAGAUUAGAGAAUAAAAGAAAAUACAAGAUAGAAAAAUUGCAGUUUGAAGAAGAUGACUUUCCUUCUUUGAAUCCAGAAGCUGGCAAACAGAAUCAGCCAUGCAGACCUUUUGGGACCACUUCUGGACUGUGGGAAAACCCACCUAGCGCCAAGCAACCCUCUAAAAUUCUAGUUAUCAAAAGUUUCCAAAGAGGAUCCUGCUGCUGCCUUCUCUGCUGCAUUCACCUCAUCAGGAUCUCACCAUGCCAAUGGAAACAAAUCGUCAUCCAUAGUUCUAAGUGUCUAUAAGAACCUGGUUCCUGAGCCUGAACCACCUCCUUCUAAGCCCAGAAAAGCUAGUAGAAUGGAACACAAAUCAGGAUCCCUUUCCUCAAGCUGGAAGUGUGCUUUUACCAGUCCAAUCUCUGUCACUAAACCAGUGCUACUGGCUGCUGGUGCAGUUCUGAGUUCUCCCAAAGAGUCCUUCCAGCACCACUCCUCCAAUUGAGAUCAGCUCUUCUCGUCUGACCAAGUUGACCCAUCGAACCACUGACAGGAAGAGUGAAUUCCUGAAGACUCUGAAGGAUGGCCAGAACAGAGAUUUCUCAGAGAACAGAGACUGUGAUAAGCUGAAGGAUUUGGAGGAUGACAGCACACCUGAACCAAAGCAAAAUGGAAAGGAAGGCUAUCAUCAGAAUGGUCUUGUUCUCCCCAUACUGGAAGAAGGGGAGGUUCUCUCAUACUCUCAGGAAGCAGAGCACAGGUUAUUGAAAGCAAGGGGAUGGCAGGAAUAUCCUGAAAAUGAUGAGAAGUGGCAUCCCCUCACAGAGGAUGAGCUGAAGGAAUUCCACAUGAAGACAGAGCAGCUGAGAAGCAAUGGCUUUGGAAAGAUCGGCUUUUUGCAGAGCUGCUGUUCCAGCCUGUUCUCCCCUUGGAGAUGCACUUGUAAAACAGAGUUUGAGGAUUCAGACACAGAAACCAGUAGCAGUGAAACAUCGGAUGACAAUGCCUGGAAAUAGGCAUAUAAAUGCUCACAGUAAAAUCUGACCCAGUAAACUCUGUUUAGGGAGUAUACAAAAUAAAUUGUUCUUUUCCUUUAUCUUGCUUAAUACUUCAUGCACAAGGGAAAUAAUCAUAUCCCAAAGAGAGCGACUGGCACGUUUAGCUUUUGUGUUCUUUUCUGUUAUCUGCUUAAUAGAGAAGUUUGUGUGGUGGGAAAGACUUUUGAAACACACACACACAGAGUAUAUAUGGGGCAAUGCUCGGGUGGGAGCUGGCAGUGCAGAGAAGAGAACACUGGUCUGCAGUAAUGGCUUCUACUACCAGCCCUUGGGGCACUCACCCCUGUGGCUCAGGCAAUCAUUGUCAAUGACAAAGUGACUGUUGAAGUUAUAAUUGUAUUAAAUUAAUGCUA